rnacentral:rRNA from 1 species
GGAGGUGGGACGACGUCAAGUCAUCAUGGCCCUUAUGUCCUGGGCUACACACGUGCUACAAUGGCCGGUACAGAGCGCAGCGAGGCCGCGAGGCGGAGCGAAUCGCUUAAAGCCGGUCCCAGUACGGAUUGGAGUCUGCAACCCGACUCCAUGAAGUUGGAAUCGCUAGUAAUCGCGCAUCAGCAUGGCGCGGUGAAUACGUUCCCGGGCCUU